CAGUAAAUAGUUUAAUAAAAUAUUAAUUUUGGAGAUUAAAGUUAAGCUUGGCUUUUUACUGA
rnacentral:tRNA from 1 species